rnacentral:RNase_P_RNA from 1 species
AGUGCAAGCUGACUUGUCGCUGUCCCGUCCCGAUACCAAUCGGGACGGGAGGGAGGAAAGUCCGGGCAACAUAGAGCGCCAUACUUCCUAACGGGAAGGAGCCGGAUUGGAGACGGUCCGGUUACAGAUAGUGCCACAGAAAAUAUACCGCCCCGAUCUGAUCGGGGUAAGGGUGAAAAGGUGGGGUAAGAGCCCACCGGUCAGCUGGUGACAGCGGACGCAUGGCAAACCUUAUGGGUUGAAAGACCAAAUAGGUCCCGCAUCGGAUUCAGUUUCGAAAAAGGCUGCUCGUCUUUCUGCGGGAUGGGUAGGUCGAUGGAUCCCGGUUGUGAAACCGGGACUAGAUAAAUGACAAGUGAAUCUUCCGAUUGGGAAGAGGAACAGAACCCGGCUUAUAGGCUUGCACCUUUU